AUGGAGCUUUUCCGAAACUGUCUUGAUGACUGCGGGCUGGUGGACCUCGGUUUUUCUGGUCCAAAGUUCACCUGGACUAAUCAGCAGGACGUGCAAUGCAAUGUGCGGGUCAGACAUGACCGCGCUGUGGCUAACGGUGACUUUACUGCCAUGUUCGAGUUCUAUCAUGUGGAAAACAUAAUUACUACCACUUCUGACCAUUAUGCGGUGGCCAUCUCCCUCGACUCCCAGCAAGCGAUGUGUGAUUGGCCCCCUGUACAACACAAAUCCCGCUAUGAGGCUAUGUGGUGUCGUGCUGAGGGAUACAUUGAGGUAGUGGAGAAUGCUUGGAAAGCCCAUGCCACUGGAACUCACUCGCUGCAUGAAACAUGGUCAGUUUUGAACCAUGUGUCAGGUGCUCUGAAGGAAUGGAGCAAGGUGGCCUUUGGUUCUGUCCGACGUGAGAUCCAGAGAACCGAAAGGAGACUCAAGUCUCUGCACACGUCACCCGUGAAUGCUGCUGGGCUGAAGGAGGAACGUGAGCUAGAGUGCCAGCUAUGUGAAUUGUUUGAGCAUGAGGAAAUCAUGGCACGACAACGGUCUCGGAUCGUCUGGCUCUGUGCGGGAGACCGCAAUACGGAGUUCUUCCAUGCCCGGGCCUCUGCACGAUGGCACACCAACCGCAUCAAGGCUCUUGUGCGGGAGGAUGGCUCCAAGUGUGUUUCUCGGGACGGAUUGAAAGAGAUGGUACAUGAUUUUUACGAGGAUCUCUUCUCUGCUGGAGACUGCACCUCUAUGGAUAGGGUGUUGGAUGCUAUCCCGAGGAAGGUGGAUGACAACAUGAAUGCUGAGCUGUGCAAACCAUAUAGUAAUGAGGAGAUCAGGGCAGCUUUCUUCCAAAUGGGACCUACGAAGGCUCCUGGGCCAGAUGGAUUGCCGGCCAUGUUCUAUCAAACUCACUGGGAUCUGAUCCAGCAUGAUAUUUGCGAUGCAAUUCGCUCUUUCCUGAGUGGCGAGGCUUUACCCGAAGGACUUUGCGACUCAAUGAUUGUCUUAAUCCCAAAGGUACAAAAUGCCCAACACCUCUCUAAAUUCCGCCCCAUUAGCCUGUGCAAUGUCUUGUACAAACUUGCAUUUAAAGUUCUUGCUAAUAGACUGAAGGUUUUGUCUCAGAGUUUCAUAGUGCUUUCGUGCCGGGCUGUGUCACGACCGUUUUUUCAAUAA
rnacentral:rRNA from 1 species